rnacentral:rRNA from 1 species
GAUGAACGCUAGCGACAGGCUUAACACAUGCAAGUCGAGGGGCAGCAUAAAAGUAGCAAUACUUUGGUGGCGACCGGCGCACGGGUGAGUAACGCGUAUGCAACCUACCUAUCAGAGGGGAAUAACCCGGCGAAAGUCGGGCUAAUACCGCAUAAAACAGGGGCACCGCAUGGUGAUAUUUGUUAAAGAAAUUCGCUGAUAGAUGGGCAUGCGUUCCAUUAGGUAGUUGGUGAGGUAACGGCUCACCAAGCCGACGAUGGAUAGGGGAACUGAGGGGUUGGUCCCCCACACUGGUACUGAGACACGGACCAGACUCCUACGGGAGGCAGCAGUGAGGAAUAUUGGUCAAUGGGAGGAAGCCUGAACCAGCCAAGUCGCGUGAAGGAAGAAGGAUCUAUGGUUCGUAAACUCCUUUUGCAGGGGAAUAAAGUGCAGGACGUGUCCUGUUUUGUAUGUACCCUGAGAAUAAGGAUCGGCUAACUCCGUGCCAGCAGCCGCAGUAAGAC